rnacentral:lncRNA from 1 species
GACAAGGGGCCAUAAUUGUAAGGAAAAGCUCUCCAACUUAAACAAGUACUCCACAUGGCUAAUGUGAGGUGCUUGGAAUGUCUACUCUCUUGGAUUCAUUAAAUGCUUUAGAUCUUACAGUUGCUGAUAAUGUUUAAAAAGUAGUCAUACAACUAUAAAAUCUUUGUUCUACCAAAGUCAGCCAUUUUUUCCCCCAAUAAUUUGGUAUAUUAGCUGCUUGGUUUUCUAACAUGCAUUUAAUUGAGGCAGCAAUUACAGGUUGACUUUGUUAAAACCUCCAUAAAUGCAAGUAUCUGACAAUUCUUCAAACAGUUUACCUGGUAAACAAUGGAGAUGCUAUGUGAUCUUGAUCUUGAUUUGCCUUGGAUCCUCAUUCCUGCAGAAUCCAUGAGUCUGAACCAAUUCAAUACUCAGAGAUGAUGAUGAUAACUACUAUUUAAUUUAGAAUGCUUUGGGACUUGGAAGUGGGUGAUAAAUCUCUCCACCUUCUCAUACAUUGGGAUUAUUGUGAUCAGUUGUUUCAACUUAGGAUGUGACUCAUCAGAUAUGCUUAGAAACUAGGCUGUGUGUGUAGGUUGAGGAAUUAGAAGACCUACCCAAGGAAAGCUAUAGAUUAAACCUAAUGCGAGAGAGAGAGAGAGAGAUAGUUUAUUCAGAAGCGUGCACCUUGAACUCUUCUUUCAUAUAAUUGAAGCGAUGAGCCAAUUAAGAACGCUGGCAUUUAAAGCUCCUUCGCUGCCUCGUCCAGAAUUCAACUCCUGCUAUGAUGAGGUGGUGAUCUCUAUC